UACGGAGGGGGCUAGCGUUGUUCGGAAUUACUGGGCGUAAAGCGCACGUAGGCGGCUUUGUAAGUUAGAGGUGAAAGCCCGGGGCUCAACUCCGGAAUUGCCUUUAAGACUGCAUCGCUAGAAUUGUGGAGAGGUAAGUGGAAUUCCGAGUGUAGAGGUGAAAUUCGUAGAUAUUGGGAAGAACACCGGUGGCGAAGGCGGCUAUCUGGACCGUAACUGACGCUGAGGCGCGAAAGCGUGGGGAGCAAACAGG
rnacentral:rRNA from 1 species